rfam:Homo sapiens chromosome 1, GRCh38 reference primary assembly.
GCCAGGCAUAGUGGCUCAUGCCUGUAAUCCUAACAUUUUGGGAGGCUGAGGUGGGAGGAUUGCUUGAGACCAGGAGUUCAAGACCUGCCUGGACAACAUAGCAAGACCUCAUCUCUA